rnacentral:tRNA from 1 species
GGAUUAGCUCAGCUGGUAGAGCGGCUGAUUUGUAAUCAGUAGGUCGAUGGUUCGAAUCCGUCAUCC